UCCCUACGGGAGGCAGCAGUGAGGAAUAUUGGUCAAUGGGCUUACGCCUGAACCAGCCAAGUCGCGUGAGGGAAGACUGCCCUAUGGGUUGUAAACCUCUUUUGUCAGGGAGCAACGCCGGCUACGUGUAGCCGGACUGAGAGUACCUGAAGAAAAAGCAUCGGCUAACUCCGUGCCAGCAGCGCCGGUAAUACGUAGGUGGCGAGCGUUAUCCGGAUUUAUUGGGCGUAAAGGGUGCGUAGGCGGCCUGUUAAGUAAGUGGUUAAAUUGUUGGGCUCAACCCAAUCCAGCCACUUAAACUGGCG
rnacentral:rRNA from 1 species